rnacentral:rRNA from 1 species
UGGAAUGAAGGGAAAUUAAACCUCUUCCAGAGUAUCAAUUGGAGGGCAAGUCUGGUGCCAGCAGCCGCGGUAAUUCCAGCUCCAAUAGCGUAUAUUAAAUUUGUUGCAGUUAAAAAGCUCGUAGUUGAAUUUCUGCUGCAUWCAUUGCAUCUCUUGCUGAGUGCUUCWGUUUCGGCUUAUUUCGGAUUGAUUUUUUCUUUCCGGAUGAUUACUUUGAGAAAAUUAGAGUGCUCAAAGCAGGCUUUUGCCUUGAAUAGUUUAGCAUGGAAUAAUAAAGUAGGACUUUGGUUCUAUUUUGUUGGUUUUAGGUACCAAAGUAAUGGUUAAUAGGAACAGUUGGGGGCAUUCGUAUUUAACUGUCAGAGGUGAAAUUCUUAGAUUUGUUAAAGACGAACUACUGCGAAAGCAUUUGCCAAGGAUGUUUUCAUUAAUCAAGAACGAAAGUUAGGGGAUCGAAGACGAUCAGAUACCGUCCUAAUCCCUACCCCUUAACUAAA